CGCGUGGACCUGCCUCAUACAGGGGGAUAGCAGCUGGAAACGGCUGAUAAAACCGCAUAAGCGCACAGCAUCGCAUGAUGCAGUGUGAAAAACUCCGGUGGUAUGAGAUGGACCCGCGUCUGAUUAGCUUGUUGGUGAGGUAACGGCCCACCAAGGCGACGAUCAGUAGCCGGCCUGAGAGGGUGACCGGCCACAUUGGGACUGAGACACGGCCCAA
rnacentral:rRNA from 1 species